UGAUUUUCAAGGCUACUGUGGAGCUGAGAAGAAAAUGGGGACAGGACAAGUUAAAACACCACAAACCUUAUUGAUCAUACGGAAAGUCAGCUUUUUUCUCAAAUACAUUUUCUUUGGGUUGUUGCAAUCGUUUGGUUAAUUUCCAGAGUUUAAAAAAGUUUAUUUUGAUCAUUCCUGCCAGUGUCCUCAUUGAUUUUAUGCAGAAUCAGAUAUUCAAAGAUCCAUACUCCACCAUUCUGGAAAUGUUUCUCUACGAUUUUUUUUAAUGGGAUAUAUAGGAUUUCUCUUAAAUUAAUAUAAGCAGCAUCUACUACAUUCACUUAGAACACUAGAUAUUACCACCCAUGAUAGACCAUCUAAAUGAGAAAACUGCUUCUCUUCUCAAAUUUCAUAGAAUGUCCAUGCUGGUUUCCAAAGCACAUGGCAUCUACCUUCAGUAAGCAACACAGAAUAUUAGAACACCAGAGUUCAAGUUCGUAUCUAUACACUCUUCAGCUCCAACUAAGAGGGCCUAAGGGACAGACUGUUCAUCAAUGACUGUAGACUAAUGGUUUUCACCCCUUCAGGCCCACAGCCACUUUUUAUCAGAAAUAUUUUUAAACAUGUUUUAUUAUUCUAAAACACAAACAAUAUAACUUACGUGAGGCAUAUUUUUAAAUCAUCUAUCAUGAUUAAAGGUAUCUUUAAUAUCUAACUGUAAUGUAACAGACAAAUAAAAGGAAGCAACUUACGGUAAUGUGUAAUUCAAACUGGAGAUGGCCAAAACUCCUGAUGACACAAUCAUUAGAUGCUUGCACAUGUACAUAUAAUUACCAUUAAUGUGCCCACUACAAAUGCAGACUACUGCAGUAGUUUUGACCUGGAACUCAAAUGCCAUGAGCAAUGUUGCCACUAGUGACAGUUUUUAAAAUGAUAGAAAACUCUUGGUUACGUACUGAACAAAGACUACGACCUUCCCUCACUUAACUGGUAAUUGCAUUUUUGAGCAAAUCAAGUACUGCAGAUCUACAACAAAAAUAUAAAAUGGAGUUAUAAUCUAAGCUCAAAAAAUUAUUGUCAAUGUCCACCCGUCAGAGAUCAUGAGGAACAGAUCUGCAGUUGAAUCGAGUUGGGUUUAUCAGCACACUUUUACACAAGAGAGAUCACACACCAUGGGGAACCAUGGGGUGCCUCAGUAUGAGGGUGCUGGGAAGGGCUUUUUAAAGGAUUUGGGGUUGUGUUGGGUGAUUUCAAGAAGGGCUCCAUGAAUCAUGGUUUUACUCUGGAUUAAGUGCUUUCAGAAAGCAAGGGAAAUUCUAAAUGAGUGUAAAUAUUGAAAUUUUUAAUCUAGGAGGAAGAAGGAACAGAGUGAUCUAAUGGGUAAUGGAGCAAAUAUCACACAUAUAAGCCAAGAGACAAGAAUGUUUGGUCGCUCUAUGAUUUACACAGAAUCUUGCUAAGUUCCAACAUGCCUAUGGAGUGUCUUAAUUUUUGUCUUCCUCCACCACACUCAGAGUGGACUUGUCAGAUGUUGGUGUUAUAUAACAUUGUUUAUAUUCAACAGAAUAUAAUAGCCUAGCCAUUAGGGCUAAAUCAGCUUCCAGCUGACAGCUGUAGGGGUUGCUCUUCCUUUCUCAUUAUAAACAGGAUUUCUAUGUACAUAAUUAUUCAGCGAGGUUCAAAGAAGUCAUGAGAUACAGGACAAUUCUUUGUUGUCUAAAACUGUCCUAUGCUCUUCAGGCACCUAGCAUCUCUAUUCACUUUCACUCACAUUUCAUUGGCCAUUGUUAACCACAUGGCCUCAAAUUAAUUAAGGAAGCUGAGAAAUGUAGAACAAAUGGAAUGUUUAGUGAGCAUUACUAUCUCUACUACAUGCAACCUUCAAUAAAUUAUUUUACUUCUCUCAGUAUUAGUUACCUACCUGUAACAUGAGGUUACAUGGUACAUAAUGGUCAUUCUUCCCUCUUGGGGAGAAUCACAUGAGAUAAUACAUAAAGGAACUUUAAUAAGCUCUAAGAGUUAUAUAGAUUUAAAAGGCCCAUAGUACCUAUAUGUUGGAGUUAAUGUGCCAUCACUUCUACACACACACACACACACACACACACACACACACACAUACACCCUUACCUAUUUAGAGGUCUGGGUCAAAGAAUACAUACUCUGGGGGAUGUAGAAUUAGAAUGUGAUUUUACUAGGGCCAGGCGUGGUGGCUCACACCUGUAAUUUCCUGGAAGUGUAUCCAUUGGCCCAAACUUGGUGAUGUGGCCACACCAAGAUACAGCGAUAAAAUCUAGGAAAAGUUUUAUCUUUAUUCCAGGAUGCCAUUCCCUAGCUAAUUAGGUGGGAAAUCUGUAGAAGGAGAAAAACGAGUAUUAGGGAAUACAGGGUAGCUCCUACCACAUGCAUAUUCUAAAAUUCAUUGUUACUUGGUUUAGGAUGCAGUUCAAAUAACACAGUUACCUAAAGAACUACACCAAUGUAUCCUUUGUUAGACUCUCAACCCUAAAGAUUUAGGUUAGAUCUUUCAGAUUGUAUUUUAAAAUGUCUUUAGUGCAGUAUCAAUUCUCACCAGACAGAACAGCUAAGUAAAAUAAACAAGCUCUUAACAAAUUAUUAAUUUUUAAGAAAGGAAAGGGCAUUUAGAGCAAAUAUUUUCUCUAAAAAAUACUAAUAUAUCAUGUUUUAUAUCCUACAGAUAUUCCUGCAAUCUGUUUUCCUUGGGAAAGUCACUCAAUAACCUGAAGUUCAGUUAUAUCAUCUAAAGUAUUACAUAUUUAUCAUGAGGGUUAAAUGAGAUUACACAUGUCAAAUGCCUUGUAAAUAGUAGAAUUUUAUACAAAUAUAAAGUUUUGCACCUUCAAAGCUAUCACUCCAAUAA
rnacentral:lncRNA from 1 species